AACGGCCGCGGGAUCCUACACCGUGCAAAGGUAGCAUAAUCACUUGUCAUCUAAAUAAUGACUAGUAUGAACGGCCCUAUGAGGACUUCCCUGUCUCUCGUAAUUAAUCAAUGAAACUGAUCCCCCAGUACAAAAGCUGGGAUAAAAUCACAAGACGAAAAGACCCUGUGGAACUUAUAAGUACCAAUCAAUAAUAUGAUACAAGUACUUUUAGUUGGGGCAACUUUGGAACAAAACAAAACUUCCAAUAUAGGAUAUACUUACCCAAAACUAAGUCCACACACUAACUUUUAACCCACCAAUUGACCCAGUAUUACUGACAAAAGAAACAAGCUACCCCAGGGAUAACAGCGCCAUCCCCUCAUAGAGCCCAAAUCGACGAGCGGGGCUUACGACCUCGAUGUUGGAUCAGGGCCCCCAAACAGUGCAGCAGCUGUUAAAGGUUUGUUUGUUCAACAACUAAUG
rnacentral:rRNA from 1 species